rnacentral:rRNA from 1 species
UACGAAGGGUGCAAGCGUUACUCGGAAUUACUGGGCGUAAAGCGUGCGUAGGUGGUGAGUUAAGUCUGUCGUGAAAGCCCCGGGCUCAACCUGGGAAUGGCGAUGGAUACUGGCUCGCUAGAGUGCGGUAGAGGGUGGUGGAAUUCCCGGUGUAGCAGUGAAAUGCGUAGAGAUGUGGAGGAAUACCGAUGGCGAAGGCAGCCCCCUGGGAUAACACUGACGCUCAUGCACGAAAGCGUGGGAGCAAACAGG